UGCCAUCAGCCGCGGUAAUACGGAGGGUGCGAGCGUUGUUCGGAAUUAUUGGGCGUAAAGAGCAUGUAGGCGGACUGUUAAGUCUGGCGUGAAAGCCCGGGGCUCAACCCCGGAAGUGCAUUGGAUACUGGCAGACUUGAGUACGGGAGAGGGAAGUGGAAUUCCGAGUGUAGGAGUGAAAUCCGUAGAUAUCCGGAGGAACGCCGGUGGCGAAAGCGACCUUCUGGGGUGCUUGUGACGCUGAGGUGCGAAAGCUAGGGGAGCGAACGGGAUUAGAUA
rnacentral:rRNA from 1 species